UAGGGAAUCUUCGGCAAUGGACGAAAGUCUGACCGAGCAACGCCGCGUGAGUGAAGAAGGUUUUCGGAUCGUAAAACUCUGUUGUUAGAGAAGAACAAGGACGUUAGUAACUGAACGUCCCCUGACGGUAUCUAACCAGAAAGCCACGGCUAACUACGUGCCAGCAGCCGCGGUAAUACGUAGGUGGCAAGCGUUGUCCGGAUUUAUUGGGCGUAAAGCGAGCGCAGGCGGUUUCUUAAGUCUGAUGUGAAAGCCCCCGGCUCAACCGGGGAGGGUCAUUGGAAACGGGGAGACUUGAGUGCAGAAGAGGAGAGUGGAAUUCCAGGUGUAGCGGUGAAAUGCGUAGAUAUAUGGAGGAACACCAGUGGCGAAGGCGGCUCUCUGGUCUGUAACUGACGCUGAGGCUCGAAAGCGUGGGGAGCAAACAGG
rnacentral:rRNA from 1 species